AUUGAAAACACAGCUGUCCAGCUGAACCCAGCCCUAAAGCAGCCAAACCAUAGUCAACCAGCAGUUGCUUGAGCAUGAGAUGUUGCAAGAUGAAGAUGGGGGCUCAGAGAUGAUCAGAGAUUUGCACACACUUGGGCAGCAGCUGAGUCAGGGCUCCAACACAAGCGUUCCAUCGCCUGACAAACCCACUCUCCCUCCUCUACCCUCACAGUGUUUACCUUGGAUCAGGACAACCACUAAGGUAUCAGCAGUUCCACUGCCAUGGCUGCUAAGAGCGUGGAACUGUGCUCAUCCAGAUGGGAACCCUUCAGAGGCAAACAGAGGAGUGGCCAAGAUCAUGACAGAAAUGAUGUGAAAGCCCACAAACCUCCUCCUCUCCAUGAUGUCCUCAUGAAGUGAAGAGAAGAGUGGGUAGA
rnacentral:lncRNA from 1 species